rnacentral:misc_RNA from 1 species
AAAAGAGCAUACUUCUGUUUGCCAGAAGUCUUAUAAUGACAGAAAGUAGUUGAUUUGGAGAUCCUUGUUUUCUUUUGUAAUAAUUAGUUAGAAGGAUACCUUUCAAAAAAAAAAAAAAUUUGAAGGAUACUGUCAACAUUUUUUUUUAUUGUUUUAAAUGAAUUGUGUUUACAAUUUUAGUGUUGUAAUUACAUUUCUAUGAUUUUGUUGUAUGAUAAAUUGAAAGAACCCUUGUAUCUUUUGAGAAUUUGAUGACCUGGAAUUGUGUACAACAUUGCCAUCGCCACACCUGGCUGUGUUUCUUGACAUAUCCUGACAUAUAGGCAUAUAGAUAUAUGUUUUUUAAGGUAUUUUUGUUUGUUACUCCUUUUUUUUUUUUUUAGUUU